UACGUAGGGUGCGAGCGUUAUCCGGAAUUAUUGGGCGUAAAGAGCUCGUAGGCGGUUUGUCGCGUCUGCUGUGAAAACUGGGGGCUCAACCCCCAGCCUGCAGUGGGUACGGGCAGACUAGAGUGCGGUAGGGGAGAUUGGAAUUCCUGGUGUAGCGGUGAAAUGCGUAGAGAUCGGGUGGAACACCAGGGGCGAAGGCGGCUGCCUGGCCCUGACCUGACGCUGAGGCGCGAGAGCGUGGGGAGCAAACCGG
rnacentral:rRNA from 1 species